GGUAUUGUUUACCUCCACAAAUAGGCCCCGGAAACUUAUUAAAGUUGAGUUAAACAAAAC
rfam:Pediococcus cellicola strain DSM 17757 Scaffold6, whole genome shotgun sequence.